CGCCGUGGCGCAGAGGUUACGCCAACGCUCUGGGAAGCUGUGCGACCUGGGUUCGAUUCCCG
rnacentral:tRNA from 1 species